rnacentral:rRNA from 1 species
AUGCAAGUCGAACGAGAAAGUUUCCUUCGGGAAGCGAGUAAAGUGGCGCACGGGUCCGUAACACGUGGAUAAUCUGCCCUCGGGAGGAGAAUAACCCGUCGAAAGAUGGAUUAAUACUCCGUAAGACCACGGAAUCUUAGGAUUUCGCGGUAAAAGGUGGCCUCUAUUUAUAAGCUAUCGCCUGAGGAUGAGUCUGCGCACCAUUAGUUUGUUGGUGGGGUAAUGGCUCACCAAGACCGAGAUGGUUAGCUGGUCUGAGAGGAUGACCAGCGACACUGGAACUGAGACACGGUCCAGACUCCUACGGGAGGCAGCAGUGGGGAAUAUUGGACAAUGGGCGAAAGCCUGAUCCAGCAACGCCGCGUGAGUGAUGAAGGCCUUCGGGUUGUAAAGCUCUGUCAGUUGGAACGAAAAAGGAUAACCUAAUACGUUAUCCCUUGACGGUACCUUCAAAGGAAGCACCGGCUAACUCUGUGCCAGCAGCCGCGGUAAGACAGAGGGUGCAAGCGUUGUUCGGAAUCACUGGGCGUAAAGGGCGUGUAGGCGGCAGGGUGUGUCUGGCGUGAAAGACCUCGGCUCAACCGAGGAAGGGCACUGGAUACUACCUUGCUAGAGUACGAUAGGGGAUGGCGGAAUUCCUGGUGUAGAGGUGAAAUUCGUAGAUACCAGGAGGAAUACCUGAGGCGAAGGCGGCCAUCUGGAUCGUAACUGACGCUGAGACGCGAAAGCAUGGGUAGCAAACAGGAUUAGAUACCCUGGUAGUCCAUGCCGUAAACGAUGAUGACUAGGUGUCGGGGGAAUUGACCCCUUCGGCGCCGACGCUAACGCAUUAAGUCAUCCGCCUGGGGAGUACGGUCGCAAGACUAAAACUCAAAGGAAUUGACGGGGGCCCGCACAAGCGGUGGAGUAUGUGGUUUAAUUCGACGACGCGAAGAACCUUACCUGGAUUAGAAACCAAGUGGAAGUUUUGCAGAGAUGUGAGGCGUUCUCUUCGGAGAACUGCUUGGCAGGUGCUGCAUGGCUGUCGUCAGCUCGUGUCGUGAGAUGUUGGGUUAAGUCCCGCAACGAGCGCAACCCCUUUCCCUUGUUGCCAUCAUUAAGUUGGGAACUCUAGGGAUACUGUCGGCGUCAAACCGGAGGAAGGUGGGGAUGACGUCAAGUCCUCAUGGCCCUUGAUGUCCAGGGCUACACACGUACUACAAUGGUCGGUACAAACCGUUGCCAACCCGCGAGGGGGAGCCAAUCGGAAAAAGCCGGCCUCAGUUCGGAUUGGAGGCUGCAACUCGCCUCCAUGAAGCUGGAAUCGCUAGUAGUCGCGGAUCAGCAAGCCGCGGUGAAUACGUUCCCGGGCCUUGUACACACCGCCCGUCACACCACGAAAGUUUGUUGGACCUGAAGCCUUGAGGUUUUCUCAAGUCGACGGUCUGAUAGAUGAUUGGGGUGAAGUCGUAACAAGGUA